AUUGACCAGGUGUGUGUUAUUGACCAGGUGUGUGUUAUUGACCAGGUGUGUGUUAUUGACCAGGUGUGUUAUUGACCAGGUGUGUGUUAUUGACCAACAGGGAGGCUGUUUAAUCUGAAUGGGGUUGUGGAGAAAGCACAACAUGUGGCCUCAAUUAGCCUGGCUAGCUUCUCUAGGCUGCUCCAGUCAAGACAGAUACUGUUAUGUGGAUGUGAACUACAUUGUGGCUGCUACAGGUUAGCUGGUCUUGGCUGCUACAGGUUAGCUGGUCUUGGCUGUUUACAAGUUAGCUGGUCUUGGCUGCUACAGGUUAGCUGGUCUUGGCUGUUUACAGGUUAGCUGGUCUUGGCUGCUACAGGUUAGCUGGUCUUGGCUGUUUACAGGUUAGCUGGUCUUGGCUGUUUACAGGUCUUGGCUGCUACAGGUUAGCUGGUCUUGGCUGUUUACAGGUUAGCUGGUCUUGGCUGUUUACAGGUUAGCUGGUCUUGGCUGUUACAGGUUAGCUGGUCUUGGCUACUACAGGUUAGCUGGUCUUGGCUGUUUACAGGUUAGCUGGUCUUGGCUGUUUACAGGUUAGCUGGUCUUGGCUGUUUACAGGUUAGCUGGUCUUGGCUGUUUACAGGUUAGCUGGUCUUGGCUGUUUACAGGUUAGCUGGUCUUGGCUGUUUACAGGUUAG